CAACACUGGAAAUUUUAUUUCUAGUGAUUGGAAUGAUGGGAAUUUAAACCCCUUUCAGAGUAACAAUUGGAGGGCAAGUCUGGUGCCAGCAGCCGCGGUAAUUCCAGCUCCAAUAGCGUAUAUUAAAGUUGUUGCAGUUAAAAAGCUCGUAGUUGGAUGUCUGCUGGAAGCAAUCAGUCCGCCCUAUUUGUAGGGUGUGCACUUGAUGAAUUCUGGCAUUUUUGUCCCAAUGAUGUAACGGGGCGGUGGUAUUCGGUGAAAGCCGAGUAUCCUGUUUUCCGAUUAUUGGGAUACUGUUACUUUGAGAAAAUUAGAGUGUUUGAAGCAGGCUAAUUGCCUUGAAUACUGCAGCAUGGAAUAACAAUAUAGGAUUUCGGUUCUAUUUUGUUGGUUUCUAGGACUGAAAUAAUGAUUAAUAGGGACAGUUGGGGGCAUUCGUAUUUAACUGUCAGAGGUGAAAUUCUUAGAUUUGUUAAAGACGAACUACUGCGAAAGCAUUUGCCAAAGAUGUUUUCAUUAAUCAAGAACGAAAGUUAGGGGCUCGAAGACGAUCAGAUACCGUCGUAGUCUUAACCAUAAACUAUGCCGACUAGAGAUAGGAAAAUGUCAUUUUGCUGACUU
rnacentral:rRNA from 1 species